UUUGACCCCUGUUUUCUCCGUUGUUUGCUUCUUUCCCUAAAGCCUCAUUCACCUCACCCCUCCGUCCCCAGCGCGCACCGCCUCUGCAGGACGUAUUUUGGAUGUUGCGGGUUGGUGGUAGGGAGCUGUUUAAUCUACAUUUUGGGUUCAUCCUGGCCCCUGCGCUCUCGAGUCUAAGUAGGUUGACUGAGCGCUAACGAAGUGUGGAACUGCGCUCGGUUCUUAUGCGCAUUGCCGCCCAGUGAUGCGGACAAGUGAUAUCCCCAUUUUAGAGAAUUAAAAACAGGACGCGAAAUUGGCGAACUUGCCCAGACUGAAAAAAGGCAAAGCAGAUACCGGGUCUGUCAUGGGAGUGCAGCCCAAGCCUUAACCUCUCUCCCCGCUGUGACGGCCUCCGCCUGCCUCCCCGAGCUCCAUCUGUGGAGGCCUGUUUGUGUAAAGGCCCAAACCUCCCUUGCUCAGCUCAGUUCACCUUGUGUUCGUUCCUAGGGUUGGGACUCCGGUUCCCCAGCCGCUCUGGCUAGUUCUUCAUCGGGCUCUUUGGGCGACCGCACAGGUCUAGGUAGGACGCUCACUUUCACAAACGGAAAGAGAAUGUUAAAAGUUUGCCCAGCGUACGCCUUAGGGCAGGAUCCCUUCUCUUGUGACUUUCUAGAACCCUGUUUGCUGUUAAGGAAUAUUUACCUUUUCCUUCUUUCAUAUCAGAGUAGCAGCUGUCAGAUCUUUCUAGAUAGCUGCAAAUAUUUCAACUUUUUUCUUUCAACUGUUCUGGACAGGAAUCCUUGCUUAUAUCAGAAUCUUUAAUCUUUUCAAGGAAAGAAAAGUGCAUCUAGUUAGAAAAAAAUAGAGAAAGUUUUUCUUCAGUAUUGCCUUCAGACCUGGACAAGGGAACCCCUGUGUAAUUAUUCUUUGGGUUUCGGGGGUGGGGGUGGGGUGUCUGGUCUUCCUCAGGCUGUGUCCCUCCCCACUGGAGGAGUCUGUCUGCAGGUGGAUGGGGCUGCCCACCCAGAGUCCACAUUGCCCACCGCAUCCCAGACCCUUACUGAAUUCCCUACCCAAAGGCCCAAGCCUGCUCUGUGCACGUUGGGGUGGGGCAGGCCCCACCCCUGAAGAGUGCCUAAUCAGGCAGCUGUGCUGGAAGUGUGGGCUCAGGUCUGCAGGUGAGCCUGAGGCCACUCUGGGAGGAGAUGGAGCCUAGGUGGGGAAGGGAAAGGAUUCUGUUCAUUGGCGUGGGCUGCCCUUUCUUGCCUGACCCAGAACUCUGAGGGGUCUGAGAAUUCUAAUCGUACUUGGCCUUUCAGGUUGUUAUAAAGCUACAUUUGCCAAGGAAGGAGGAUUUUGUGACCGUCUGUUGGUGGAUAGCACUGAAAAGUAAUUAUGUGGGCCCCCAGUGUCCUCCUGUCUGAGGCUCCAGGAAGAUUAGGGGCAGGCCUGGCUUUAGCUGCAUUGUUGUUAUUGUUUAGCCCCAAUCCUUCCCACUCCUUGGACUGUAGCCCACCAGACUCCUCUGUCCAUGGAAUUUCCCAGCUUUCUGUCACUUUGCAAAACCUCAGGCCAUCUGAUUUUGCCCACGGAUUCGAUCCCUGGGUCGGGAAGAUCCCCUGGAGAAGAGCAUGGAAACCAUCUCCAGUAUUUUUUCCUGAAGAAUCCCAUGGACAGAGGAGCCAGAGCCAACAUCUCACCAAAAUCUACUUCAAGAGGCCAAAUCUCUCUGUGUACACUUUUUGCCAUCCUAUUUGCCCCAACUCUUGUCUGGAUUACUUCAUCCUUUACUGCUCUUUAGCCCUGAGUUCACUCUCCACAUUGCAACCAGAGUGACUUUUUAAACGUGAAUUGGAAGAAUUGAUGCUUUUGAACUGUGGUGUUGGAGAAGACUCUUGAGAGUCCCUUGGACUGCAAGGAGAUCCAACCAGUCCAUCCUAAAGGAGAUCAGUCCUGGGUGUUCAUUGG